UACGUAGGGAGCAAGCGUUGUCCGGAAUCAUUGGGCGUAAAGCGCGCGUAGGCGGCUCGAUCAGUCUGUUGUGAAAGUCAAAGGCUCAACCUUUGAAUGCCGAUGGAUACUGUCGAGCUAGAGUCCGGAAGAGGAGAGUGGAAUUCCUGGUGUAGCGGUGAAAUGCGCAGAUAUCAGGAAGAACACCAAUGGCGAAGGCAGCUCUCUGGGACGGUACUGACGCUGAGACGCGAAAGCGUGGGGAGCGAACAGG
rnacentral:rRNA from 1 species